ensembl:snRNA U1 U1 spliceosomal RNA
UUAUCUACCCUGCAGAUAUCAUGAUCACGAAGGUGGUUUUCCCAGGGUGAGGCUCUUGCACUGCGAGUGUGCUGACCCCUGCGAUUUCCCCAAAUGCAGGAAACUCGACUGCAUAAUUUGUGGUAGGGGGGACUGCGUUUGCACUCUCCCCUU